GUGAAUGUGCCAGAGUGGUUAUUGGGCAUGACUAGAAAUCGUGUGGGCUUUGCCUCGCGUAGGUUCGAAUCCUGUUGUUCACG